GCCCCAAGUAACAUACAAAAAAUCCAAUCAUUUCAAUCCAUCUGCCUUCGCACUAUUACAAAAUCCCCCUGGUAUGUAAGUAACGAAACCCUUCACUCAGACCUGAGAAUAAAUUACGUAAACCAAGUCACUAAAACUGCUUACCAAAAACUCCACAAAAAAUUUAGCUCCCAUAGUAACCCUAACAUUAGUUAUCUUGCUUCACAACACAUCCCGGACAACCCCCCACGAAGACUUAAACGAAAAUGGGUUAGAGACCUUCUCCAUUAAUAAAUAC